CUGGAACCUAUGAUCAGGCAAGGUUCUAAAGUACGUAGUCUGUGUCAAUGGAGAUGUCACAAUGUCUAUUUCCCUUUGAAGGAAGGAAAACUUCUAUUCAAGGUAGAAGGACAAUAAGAGUGAAGCCUUCACAGCUGACAGACACUGCUUGUCCAUUGGCUAUGUCAUCCUGGGCAAAGUCCUCAGCCUCUUGGAGCCUGUUUCCUUGCCUGUAAAAUGUGGACAGUAAUAGCUACCCUGCUGGUUGGUUGGGAGGAUUAGACGUAAUCUAUCAAAAGUGCUGCUAAAACUGCCCCUGGCAAGUAAUGGACAAUGAAAAAAAUCACUAAAACUAUUUUGUGUGGGAGAAAAGGGUUUCACCCAGAAUUUAAUCCAACUCUACUAGUUUGCUCCCAAAGGGUUCUGUCAAUCACAACCAACUUCAGAGUCUAAAACUGAACCCGUUCUGCUGCUCUGAGAGCCACUGCCAGGUAAACAGAUGCUCCCUUCGGGGUGCUGUGGCCACUCCUUUUCUGAAGCCCCUGGGCAGCGUGCAGAAUGCAGGCUCAGGGAGGCUGUGUUUUCCUCCUAUUUGGGCAGUACCAUUUCCUCCAAGCCACACAAGGCCAGGCGCUAGUCACAUGAAUUCUCUACUGAACCCCACGAGGUGACAGUCAGAAGACUGAAAACGAAGCCCCUUGGGCCGUGCAGGGAGGCUCCUGCACACAUACGUUUCCCAUGGGGCAAACGUUUCAAGCACCACAGGCUGGGCAGGGAUAUGGAAGGACGUCCUGAAUCGCGAGAACCUACACCCCACAGGAAGC
rnacentral:lncRNA from 1 species